AUAUCCAGAGAGAAGCUUUAUGUAGCCUCCUCCACAUUCAAUAUCUUGCUCAAACUUAAUAGAAUACUGUACAACCAGUGUUGUGUUUUUAUUGCUAAAUUCCGGUAUCUUUGCAGAGAGGGCAAAAUGUUUGGCAUCACUUGUUGUCUGAAGACCUCUGUCAUCAGGAUCACCAGGCCAGUUGCCCGCUGUGUGCUUAAAUUUCCCUGCUUUUCCUUCACUGCUUUUCCACUCAGACUUCACCCAUUUGUUCCGCCAACCAUCAUCAAAUCGUUCUUCAAAGAAGGUCUCACAUACUGAACAAGUCACAAGUGUA
rnacentral:misc_RNA from 1 species